rnacentral:rRNA from 1 species
GAUGAACGCUGGCGGCGUGCCUAAUACAUGCAAGUCGAGCGAACGGACGAGAAGCUUGCUUCUCUGACGUUAGCGGCGGACGGGUGAGUAACACGUGGAUAACCUACCUAUAAGACUGGGAUAACUUCGGGAAACCGGAGCUAAUACCGGAUAAUAUUUUGAACCGCAUGGUUCAAAAGUGAAAGACGGUCUUGCUGUCACUUAUAGAUGGAUCCGCGCCGCAUUAGCUAGUUGGUAAGGUAACGGCUUACCAAGGCAACGAUGCGUAGCCGACCUGAGAGGGUGAUCGGCCACACUGGAACUGAGACACGGUCCAGACUCCUACGGGAGGCAGCAGUAGGGAAUCUUCCGCAAUGGGCGAAAGCCUGACGGAGCAACGCCGCGUGAGUGAUGAAGGUCUUCGGAUCGUAAAACUCUGUUAUUAGGGAAGAACAAAUGUGUAAGUAACUAUGCACGUCUUGACGGUACCUAAUCAGAAAGCCACGGCUAACUACGUG